UCUGUGGAAUAAUCGCGGAGAGUGAUUCAUUAGUAGUUUGCAUAUUAACUUAAGUAAUGUGGAGAUUUAAAAUGUGUGCACUGUACUUGUCUGUUUAAGGUAAUUGUAUUUGGGAUUAAUUGGAGUAUUGAAAUGAUGAUCAAAUGUGAAAUUACACGUUCACGUUACAAUGACCGAUGUUUAUUCACAACAUUGUCAGGCCAGAUAACCAUGUCCAUGUUUGACUUGUGUCAGUGACCAUGUGAUUCACGGCUUCCAUUGCUGUGGAGUGCAUUGAACGACAUCAUGGCCUAGAAGAACAUACCCGGGGAUAAUACCAGCAGCAACAAGUACCACGCAACCGCCAAAAUGCACGCCGCCAUUUUGAAGCAUGUCUGAGUGAACCGAUGGUUUCCAUGGAUUCCAUGAAGAUUCAAUUGAUUUGUUGGUUUUUAAUUGUCCAAUUAUUUUUAAAAAUAAACAUUUUGGUGAA